AACCUGGGUGAUCCUGCCAGUAGUCAUAUGCUUGUCUCAAAAAUUAAGCCAUGCAUGUCUAAGUAUAAGCCUUUACACGGUGAAACUGCGAAUGGCUCAUUAAAACAGUUAUCGUCUCCUUGACAGUUCAUACUACAUGGAUACCUAUGGUAAUUCUAGAGCUAAUACAUGCCUAAAGACCCGACUUGCGAAGGGUUGUGCUUAUUAAAUACUACACCAACUGUCUUCGGGCAGUUUUGCUGACUCAUAGUACCCAGCGAAUCGCAUGCUUCUGGCGGCGAUGUGUCAUCCGAGUUUCUGACCUAUCAGCUUUCUACGGUAGGGUAUUGGCCUACCGUUGCUUUGACGGGUAACGGAGAAUUAGGGUUCGAUUCCGGAGAGGGAGCCUGCGAAACGGCUACCACAUCUAAGGAAGGCAGCAGGCGCGCAAAUUACCCAAUCCUGACUCAGGGAGGUAGUGACAAGAAAUAACAAUACUGGACCUCUCAGGUUUAGUAAUUGGAAUGAGAACAAUUUAAAACCCUUAUCGAGUAUCAAUUGGAGGGCAAGUCUGGUGCCAGCAGCCGCGGUAAUUCCAGCUCCAAUAGC
rnacentral:rRNA from 1 species